CAGGAUGUUCAGGAUUGUCAAUUCCAGGCUACAAUAAUUGCCACAAACAAGACUAUAAGUAGGAGAACUUCACAUUAGAUUCUGUUGUCAUAUAGAGAAAUAAGUAGACAAGAACAUAGAAAUGGAAAUAGAAGGAAAAAUUAGCCUAGGAAUUAACAUCAGAAAUGUGUCGGUCUUGCAACACUUCAUCUCGUUUGCUACAACCUACACCAGAAAAUGAGAUUAUUUGAUCAAAGCAAGGAUAUGGGUAAAAGCAGAACUUUAGAACCAGCUAAUCACCAUAACUUUUUCCAUAGCAUCACUAAGUGCAUGCAGUCAUACUAGUAUUCAUUAAUUACAAAAGGUAGUACUAAAUUUAUCAGAUAAACUUUUAAGAAAAAGACACUGUAAGAUAGUCCACAAGACUUACAAAAGGUAGUACUAAAUUUAUCAGAUAAACUUAUAAGAAAAAGACACUGUAAGAUAGUCCACAAGACUUACAAAAGGUAGUACUAAAUUUAUCAUAUAAACUUAUAAGAAAAAGACACUGUAAGAUAGUCCACAAGACCCAUUCCUUUCCCCCUAUAAUACAGCAACUCACAAUUAGCUUUUGAAGUCCAAUUCAGGUCAAAUCCCC
rnacentral:lncRNA from 1 species